UCUGGUGAUCAUGGGCACAUGGAAACACUCGUUCCCAUCCCGAACACGAAAGUUAAGAAUGUAGCCGCCGAUGGUAGUGCAGCCACGCUGCUGUGCGAGAGUAGGUCGUCGCCAGGU
rnacentral:rRNA from 1 species